CAUUUUAAUAGAUGUCUUCUACAUGGAUCAUCAUCUGGUGAGGAUGUGGACUUUCUGCCAGGGACAAGCGGCUUUAGCAAGAUAAAAUAAGGACCAGGCUGUAAAGCUGAAAACUCUUCUGGAAAAGAAGGCUCCAGACAUAUUGACUGAACAUCAGCAGACAGGCACAUUGCCCACCAGCAGCAGAAAGAAGCUUGUCAAAUUAAGCAUCAGUGACCUUAUAGAGAGACAUGGAGUAAACAUUUCUAUGAUCCUAUAUCCCAUAAAGGAUUCAUAAAAAUGAAGCUACAGAAUAUCAGACAGAAUCUAGAAGAAGG